rnacentral:rRNA from 1 species
GACGAACGCUGGCGGCGUGCUUAACACAUGCAAGUCGAACGGAAAGGCCCUGCUUUUUUGGGGUUCUCGAGUGGCGAACGGGUGAGUAACACGUGAGUAACCUGCCCUUGACUUUGGGAUAACUUCAGGAAACUGGGGCUACUACCGGAUAGGAGCUCCUGCUGCAUGGUGGGGGUUGGAAAGUUUCGGCGGUUGGGGAUGGACUCGCGGGUUACCAGCUUGUUGGUGGGGUAGUGGCUUACCAAGGCUUUGACGGGUAGCCGGCCUGAGAGGGUGACCGGCCACAUUGGGACUGAGAUACGGCCCAGACUCCUACGGGAGGCAGCAGUGGGGAAUAUUGCACAAUGGGCGGAAGCCUGAUGCAGAAACGCCGCGUGCGGGAUGACGGCCUUCGGGUUGUAAACCGCUUUCGCCUGUGACGAAGCGUGAGUGACGGUAAUGGGUAAAGAAGCACCGGCUAACUACGUG